UGAGGGCUGUGGUCUGCAUCCAGCAAUAGCCAGUGAUCCCUGAGUGGGUUCAGGUGGCGUUUUGAUAUGUCUCUGUCCAAGGGACCGUGUCGUCAGUUCUCAAGAGCGGGGUGACCAGGAUGGGCUUCGGAAGAGUCCAUGCUCCUGACUAUUCUUCCAAAAGCACCGGACACCCCACGUGCGUGUCCCACCGUGGAACAUGCUUGGCGUGAAAAGGGGGCACAUGACGUGCUACGGCUGAACGUGACGUCCUGGUGCCGAGUGGAGGAAGCCAGGCACAAGGGCCACGCACCGAGUGCCCCUGCUCCGCGGUGUCAGUGUC